rnacentral:lncRNA from 1 species
GAGAACAGUUGACAUUCCCAGCUUUGGGUCUGAUGUUAAGGUAAACCCUCAGAGAAAUAGACAAGCUCCCUUAGACAGUGAAGAUGCUCAAUGUUACUAGUGGCCUAGGGGGUUAAAGUCACCUCAAAACAAAGAUGAUUUUAGCAUCAAAAGGUAAUAGCCCCAAGGAAGAAAAAAAUGUAUUGCCGGGAGAUAAAGCAGAGGAACUCACCUCUACGCUGCCUUCAGGGCGUGGUGCCCAUGCCUCUUAUUCCAGCAUUUGGGAGAUGGUUGAAGAGGGCUAGGGAUUCAAGGCCAGCCUUGGCUACAAAAGGCCUUGUCUCAAAAACAAAACUUAACUAAAAAAAACAAACAACCCCCUGCAAAAGAAACCCACUCCAACCAAAAUAGAAACAAACUGUUAAGGCCACAAAAAUGUUGUUAUUUUGGCAUGUGACAGUUCCAAGUUUAUAGGCUUGACAAGAUGGUCGGGUGGGUAACGUUUAGCUGUAAAGGCACUUCCCUCGCAAGCCCUGCCAGCUGGAGUUGGUGAGGUAGACAGUGGUAGAGCACUUGCUGUAAAAAAAAAAGAAGAUAUAUUCUAGCUAGCCCGCAUAAAGGACACAAAAUCCUGGUAUUUUAUUUCCAAGCUGUAAGCCUAAAUUGGGCA